AAAAUUGAUGCAAUAGAGGAUCCCUGCCAAAGGCAAUUUAGGCGGGUCAUAGUAGGCGGGACAUAGACAGAUCACAGAGCUUUUUAGAAAUGUGUCCAUACCUCUUCCGGGCUCAUUACACUCCGCUUUGCGGAUCAUAGACAAGUUGGAUGUGUGAGAAAUAGUUAGGUCUCCACACACAUCCAAUCUAGUUUCUGCCGUAUUGCUUUCACCUAUUCAGCCUGAUCAUUUCGGUGAAAGGGAGUGAGCGAGGAGGCAAAGGAGGAAGCAUCGCUUUGGAAUGAAAUACGGUCAGUGUGUCUCGAAAAGCUCCCAUACUUCUGCGCACGUAAACAUCGCAAACAUUUAUUCAAUGUACAAUAGAACGCUGGCGAAAGAUGGAAGUUCCGUUAUUUUGAAGUCUUUCUUCACGACUAGGUGCUUAUAGGAUAGUGGUGUGAGUAAUGGCAUGGCCCAGAGUCCCAUGCCUCCUGCUGAUCCUGCUGCUCCUACUACACACCUGCUUACCUCAACCAGGCCCUCCAUCUCCUCCCUCCGCUCCCCAGUGUCACAUUCCCUAUACGGAGGGACGACAGGCAGAUAUCCACUGUUUCUGGGAUCCAGGACAGAACCCACAAAUCCCCACCUCCUACAGCCUGCACUGGAAUUCUACAGAGGGGUAAAGACAUGUCUACUAUAGCCUGUAUACAUCCCAUCUUAAUACAGUAUAUACAGGACAUCUAUAAUCAUCUUCACAAAUGACCCAGACAUAGGCUAUCAUAACUAUCAUAUACUGUUCCUACACAGAUGCAAGAAUAGCUGUUUAUUCGCUGUGUUUGGAAACCCGCGGUGACUCGUGGUGUUUAGAAACCGAUGGGUUAAUGCUGCGUUUGUAACCAAGCAGGAAGUGGGAAUUUACCACCAAAAUGUUAGAAAGAGGACUCUAUAUGGAUAAAACCCAUUUGGCAUGGACAUUGUCAUCAAAGGAUUCACCCUUUUAAAGUAGUCAACUGGGUGGGACUUCCUAUGGGUGAAGGAAGGAUCACAUGAUUCCACCCAGGUCAUCAGGAGGGAUCAGCCAAUGAAUUAUACUCAUGAGUAAACAUUCCAUAACUGUAGGUGGUAGUAAAUCACCAUCCUUGGCUUUAUACCUGUUAAAACAACACACUCUAGGUGGCAGUAUGCACCCUUUCAGUUUGUUUGCCAACUCAUAGAAGUAGUAGAAGAAGAAAAUUGACUUAUUCAAACUGGAGAUGGCUCAAUGGUUCUGCCCGUGCCAGGGCCCGGCUUAUGUGCCUUACCGUACAUCCUUGUCAGUCCAAAUAAAAUAUUGAAAUAGUGAUCAUUUAUUUGACAGAGAGGCCACGGACAGAAAGACGUAUCAAUCUCAGAUAAAGCAUUCAAGCAAGCGAAUACAGAGAAUGAUAGAGAUAUUAUCUUUAUAUAUGUCCCAUUAUGGCAUCUGUGAGCGCUCGACCCGGUACUGGUACCCCGUGUAUAUAGCCAAGUUGUUGUUACUCAUUUUGUAUUUAUUAUCACUUUUAUUAUCACGUGUCAUUACUUUUCUAAGCCCUCAUUGGCAAUGUCCAUGCCAAAAACUGGUUUAAUGCAUCAAGAUUCCUAUAUCUAACCCUAUGGUGGUAAAUUCCCACUUUCCACUUGGUUACAAAUGAAGCAUAAGAGGCAGACUCUUAUGCUGCGUUCAUAACCAAGUGGGAAGUGGGAAUUUUGCUUUAUUUUCUGCUGUGCAUUCACAAUGCUAAGCUGCAACUAGGGCUGGCAUAAUUACUGUAUAACCGUGUAAUCAACAGUUAACUGUCAUAACCAUGUUGUGGAACAAACAACUGACUGAAGAUGGGACGGCUGGGCAUUCUUGUGGUUGAGUCCGUUUCUGCAGUAACAUGGACUCUUAACAGCAUGAAACUUCAUUGUUCUUU
rnacentral:lncRNA from 13 species